UAGGGAAUAUUAGUUAAUGUGCGAAAGCGCGAACUAGCAACGCCGCGUGUGCGAUGAAGGCCUUCGGGUUGUAAAGCACUUUUCCAGAGGACGAGGAAGGACGGUACUCUGGGAAUAAGCAUCGGCUAACUACGUGCCAGCAGCCGCGGUAAAACGUAGGAUGCAAGCGUUAUCCGGAUUUACUGGGCGUAAAGCGCGUGUAGGCGGUUCGGUAAGUUGGAUGUGAAAGCUCCUGGCUUAACUGGGAGAGGUCGUUCAAUACUGCCGAGCUAGAGGAUGGUAGAGGGAGGUGGAAUUCCGAGUGUAGUGGUGAAAUGCGUAGAUAUUCGGAGGAACACCAGUGGCGAAAGCGGCCUCCUGGACCAUUUCUGACGCUCAGACGCGAAAGCUAGGGUAGCAAACGG
rnacentral:rRNA from 1 species